CGAUGUCUAGGGGUUCUGAGAGGAAGGUCCCCCACACUGGUACUGAGACACGGACCAGACUCCUACGGGAGGCAGCAG
rnacentral:rRNA from 1 species